rnacentral:sRNA from 2 species
CGCCCGUCACACCAUGGGAGUUGGUAAUGCCCAAAGUCGGUGAGUUAACUUCGGAGACCAUUGCCUAAGGCAGGACUGAUGACUGGGGUGAAGUCGUAACAAGGUAUCCCUACGAGAACGUGGGGAUGGAACACCUCCUUUCUACGGAAUUACACAAUUUUAAUAUUUUAGAUAUUAAAAACUGUAAAAAUUAAUCUCCAUUUUAUUUUUUACAGUCAUUAUUAAAUUUUGUUUUUUUUAAAAUCCUAUAAAUUUAUUUUAAUUAAUUAAAUGGUAUGUAUCUAGUUUUGAGAGCUCUAAUGCUCUUAGUUCUUUGAAAACUGAAUAGUAUCAAAAAUAUGUAAUAAAUUUACAUAUUCCAAUGAUCUUAUUAAACAACCGAGUUAAAUCAAGUGAUUUAAUCAAUUUUAAUAGAUUACCAAUAUUAAAAUACCUUAAGAUAUUUAUCUUUAUGUAUAACAAUAGGCUAUACAAAAAGUUGUAUUAACUUUUUAAAUAAGUAAGAGUAUUUGGUGGAUGCCUUGGGUCUGAAAGUCGAAGAAGGACGUGAUUACCUGCGAUAAGCUUCGUGGAGCUGGAUAUAAGCUAUAAUACGGAGAUUUCCGAAUGGGGAAACCUAACUAAGCAAACCUUAGUUGCUAUUUAAUGAAUCCAUAGUUAAAUAAGCGAGACACGUUGUGAAUUGAAACAUCUUAGUAACAACAGGAAAAGAAAAUAAAUAAUGAUUUCCUUAGUAGCGGCGAGCGAAUGGGAAAGAGCCCAAACCACAUUAGUGGGGUUGUAGGACAUUUUAAUUGAGUUAUAAAGUUUUAUAAUAGUAGAAAAAGUUGGAAAGCUUUAACAUAGAAGGUGACAUUCCUGUAUACAAAAUUAUAAAACCUCAUAAAUGUAUCCUGAGUAGGGCGGGGCACGUGAAACCCUGUCUGAAUCUGCCGGGACCACCCGGUAAGGCUAAAUACUAAUCAGACACCGAUAGUGAACUA